CUGUAGGCAGCGACAAAAUGGAACUGAAGUUUGGGAAUAAACAAGCUAUCCAUAAACCCCUGCUGGACUUGAGAUUUUGGGAUAAGAUCAUAGCAUAGAAUGACACACUCCUGACUAGAGCUUCUUAUCCUGGUAUGGAAGAUGUCUGCUUGCAACAGAACCAUUAAGUAUUUCCAAUGGCACACCUCAGGCUUUUUUGUUUUUAUUUUCUUU